CCCCUCUCGGGGUCGCGCCUGGAGAAUUUCUAGUACUCUACCAGUCUCAACUACAGGAGGGAGACUCAAGCAGAGGCAUACCCCUUCCAUUCCAGCUUGGGCAGUGGCUAGCGAGUGGAAGACAAUCUGCUAAAAGU